UACAGAGGUCUCAAGCGUUGUUCGGAUUCAUUGGGCGUAAAGGGUGCGUAGGUGGCAGGGUAAGUCGGAUGUGAAAUCCCGGGGCUCAACCUCGGAACUGCAUUCGAUACUGCUUUGCUUGAGUACUGGAGAGGAGAUUGGAAUUUACGGUGUAGCAGUGAAAUUCGUAGAUAUUCGGAAGAACACCAGUGGCGAAGGCGGCUCACUGGACUGGUAAUUGACGCUGAGGUGCGAAAGCGUGGGGAGCAAACAGGG
rnacentral:rRNA from 1 species